ensembl:lncRNA
AUCUGGCCAUGGGAAGCUUGUUACAAGAGGGAUUCUACUGUGAACAUCUACUUUUUAAAGGAUAGAAGAUGGAGUUGAGAGAGAGAAACAAGGUGAGAAUAUGGCACAAAACAUGGAAAUCCACAUUGGAAAAUUCACUAAGAUUUUAAAAUCCAAAAUACGAGUGUCUCUAAGAGAGCAGACAUUGUUAUGGUUUAAAAAUGUAUUUCCAUAUUGGAAGGAAAAGAUAAGUCAAUUCCAAUAAUUAGCAUAUGGUUAGUUCUUAGGGAAGUGUCUGUUGCUACACAAUAACCAAAUGUUUUCUUUUUUUAAGUAACAACCACAAAUGUAAUAGCUUAAAAUAGCAUACACUGAUUGUUUCACAUUUCUGUGGGUCAGGAAUGUGGGCAUGCCUUAACUGGGUCUUCUCUUUGGGUCUCACAGACCUGUAAUCACUGUCAGGUAAGGCUGCAUUGUUUCCUGGUGCUUGGCAGUUUCUUCCAGGGAUGUGUGUUUGUUGGCAGGAUUUAGUUCCUUGCUGUUGGUCCAACUGAGGUUCCUGUUUCCUGUUGACCACUGGUCACCACUAAGUCAGCUGGCUACCUCCCAGAGUUUCUUGCCAGGUGAACCUCGCAUAGAUCUUUUUAGAACAUGGCAGCCUGGUCAAAGGCAGCAGGAGAAUCUCUUGCCCCAGAGAGAAACGUCUCUGCCAAUUUAGAGUCAUAUAUCACAUUUUGUAGUUGUAAGAAUGACAUCCUAUCACUUUUGCCAUCUUUGAUUUGAAGCAAAUCACACAUUCUGCCCGUAUUCCAGGGCAGAAGCUACAACAGGGAUGUGACUCGUCUGGGUUCACCAGAGGAAUGUCUGCCAUACUGGAUUACCUGCAAAAUCCAGUUCUCAAAGGGGCUGAAAACUCAGUUCUCGAAGAACCAGGAUGUCUUCAGCUGAUGUACACUUGACCUUGAGUGUCACAGUAUCAUGGGACCAUUGAGGCUCAACUUGUGGCCAGAGGCACAAUGGAGUUAUGUUUCCAGGCAAGGUGA